rnacentral:rRNA from 1 species
GCAGUCGAGCGACAGAAGGGAGCUUGCUCCCGGAUGUUAGCGGCGGACGGGUGAGUAACACGUGGGUAACCUGCCUGUAAGACUGGGAUAACUCCGGGAAACCGGAGCUAAUACCGGAUAGUUCCUUGAACCGCAUGGUUCAAGGAUGAAAGACGGUUUCGGCUGUCACUUACAGAUGGACCCGCGGCGCAUUAGCUAGUUGGUGGGGUAAUGGCUCACCAAGGCGACGAUGCGUAGCCGACCUGAGAGGGUGAUCGGCCACACUGGGACUGAGACACGGCCCAGACUCCUACGGGAGGCAGCAGUAGGGAAUCUUCCGCAAUGGACGAAAGUCUGACGGAGCAACGCCGCGUGAGUGAUGAAGGUUUUCGGAUCGUAAAGCUCUGUUGUUAGGGAAGAACAAGUGCGAGAGUAACUGCUCGCACCUUGACGGUACCUAACCAGAAAGCCACGGCUAACUACGUGCCAGCAGCCGCGGUAAUACGUAGGUGGCAAGCGUUGUCCGGAAUUAUUGGGCGUAAAGGGCUCGCAGGCGGUUUCUUAAGUCUGAUGUGAAAGCCCCCGGCUCAACCGGGGAGGGUCAUUGGAAACUGGGAAACUUGAGUGCAGAAGAGGAGAGUGGAAUUCCACGUGUAGCNNNGAAAUGCGUAGAGAUGUGGAGGAACACCAGUGGCGAAGGCGACUCUCUGGUCUGUANCUGACGCUGAGGAGCGAAAGCGUGGGGNGCG